AAAAAUUAGAAGAGAAAGAACAUGUGACUCUUGAUCGCAGGGUCACGAGUUCGAGCCCCAUGUUGUGGUUAAAUUUACUAAAAAUAAAUAUAUAAAUAAAUAAGUAAUAAAAAGUUACUUAUUUAUAAACCAAAUUUUAAAUUAAAUGUAUAAUUUAAAUACAAUUUAAGUUAAACUUUAAGUUAUUUAAUAAAAUUUAAUUAAGGUUUUAGAGAGUAUAAUGAUAUACAGUAUUUGGACUUACGUAUAUUUGAUAUAAAAAUUUGAUAUUCAGUAAUUCUAAUCUUUAUUUUGCCUUCUGCAUUAUUAGAUACUUUUCAAUGUUUAAAAAAAAAACCCUAACUUUUUGGAAAAACACUGGAAAAUUUUUUCAUAAAAAAUUGUCGCAAAAAAAUUAAUAAAAAAUAAAUAUAUUUACAUUUUUGUUCUUUGAAUAUAAUUGUUUUUAAUCCUUAAGUAAAUUUUAAAAUCUUUUUUUUUAAAGAGGAAGUGUGUGAGUGGAGAGGGGCAGAGAGAGAGAGAGAGAGAGAGAGAGAGAGAGAAUCUUAAGCAGCCUCCAGGCUCAGUGCUGAGCCCCAAGCAGGACUCCAUCCCAGGACCCUGGGAUCAUGACCUGAGCCGAAAUCAAGAAUUGGGUGCUCAACCGACUGAACCACCCAGGCACCCCUAAGAUCUUGAUUAUCAUAACAUAAUUAGGGGCGCCUGGGUGGCUCAGUUGUUGAAACAUCCGACUCUUGGUUUCCCCUCGUGUCAUGACCUCACAGUUCUUGAGUUCAAGCCCCGCAUCAGGCUCUGUGCUGACAGUGAAGAACCUGCUUGGGAUUCUCUCUCUCUCCUUCUCUCUCUGACCCUCUCCCACUCACUCUCUCUGUCUCUGUCUCUCUCUCUCAAAAUAAAUAAAUAAACUUAAAAAAAAUAACAUGAUUAGCGAUUUUGCUGAAAGGAAGAGAAGAAAAAUUCCAUGGGAUCGUCAUCAUCAUUUAUGAAUGAGGUAUACGUUUCUUACUCAUCCCAACAUCGUCAGCCCAAGCUGCAAUGUCCUCAGGAAGAAAAGUCUGGAGGCGGAAGGUACAGGGCAGCACUGCCCACUUAAAGGCUCUUCCUGCUACCUUCUUUCCGCCAGCCCCUACCAUCCUGUUUCAGAGGGUAAUGUAGCCACCGGUAAUAAAACUUUCCUUUGCCUCCUUUCUGCUACAGCAGGUGGGGACUAAUGACACUAGGAUGUGUGAGCUUCACCGGGAGGUGACAGAUUGUCAGGUCACCGCUUCACAGGUGGUUAACCCCACGCUCCCUACUAAGCAGGCCUCUCUUGGUUGCAGUUGACAGAAACUCACCUCGAACUUGUUGGCGCAGGAAGGGACAUUUAUUGAAUUGCAGGAUUGCAGUAAGGGCAAGACUGUGUUUGGGUCCCGGAAAGGGUAGACUCUAGGAAUGGAAUCCUGUCUGGACUCUGCUCCCUCUUCAAGGAAGCUUAUGCUCUCAGAUGGGCUGUGUCCACAUGAUUCCAAACUGUAGGCCUCUGGCCUCACUCCUGAAGGCUUCCCCUGUAAAGCUGAGCUGUUCCACUUAAUUUCUAUUCAAAAAAUAGUGGUGGGGGCCAUAGGCACACCCUGUCACCCGGAGCACAGUGUCCUGUGACUGGCACUCUCCACUACAACCCCAUGGGGGAAGGAGUUCCCCCAAAGGUGGUACCACCCACCAAAGGGAAGGGAGGUGAGGAGGCAGAACAACCAGGACCCUCUGUGCUGCCCCACCCAGGGGCCUUCAUGACAGCGAUCACCAGUCAGUGCUUCGUACUUUCUGCGGGAAGCUUGCAUGGGCCUCCGUUUGCAUGGUUUGGACCCAAGUAUGUCCAGAAGAAUGAUGACGUCACAGAACUGAGGUUCCAGAAGGCAGAGUGGCCCAGCGCUCCCACCUUCUUUAGAGCAUGGGGAGCUGUGAACUAGGCGGGGCUAGAGUAUAGUUCAUGAGGAAGAGACUCUUCAUUCUACUGAUUCUUGAGGAAAGCCCUGGCUGUCUGGGACCUGGGGUCAGAGAGGGGUAGGGGAGAGGUAAGCUUCGGAAGGGGAGGUGAGAAUGCAUCUACCAGAGGCACCAUAUUCCCCAUGGAGACCCCAAGGGGGGACUUCAUGGGUAGAGAGAGAGCUCACCCGCUUCCCAAGGCUCAGUGACCCCUGGCAAGUCUCGGAAGGAACCUCCUGAGUCAGGGUGGAGCAGGGUUGCAUGGGACACACUCAUACUAAAAAAUUAUUUGUUGUUUGUCUGAAAUUCUAAUGUAGUUGGGCAUCCUGUAAAAUUUUCUUUACUAAAUCUGGUAACACCAGGGGGAGGGAGAGAAGCAAAAGAAUGUUCACAAGCUCAGGCUGGUACGGAGUGAGCUUAGAAGGCAUCUGUGAGGAAACAAGGCCAUUAGGGCAGCCAUCUUGCCCAAGCAGAAGCUUCCUGACUCUGCAGCCUGUGGGUGGAGGAACCUAGGCCUUUGCUCUCGGGAACAUACACCUGCUUUCAGGGGAAAGAUACGAAUGCACACACCCACCACACACACACACACACACACACACACACACACACACAUGCACACAGUGACAGAAAUAGCCCCAUUCUGUGUUUUCAUGGCAUUGAUAGUUUUUUUUUCCCAAUGUUUAUUUAUUUUUGAGAGAGAGAGAGAGAGAGAGAGUGUGAGCGGCAGAGGGGGAGAGAGAGAGGGAGACACAGAACCCAAAGCAGGCUCCAGGCUCCAAGCUGUCAGCACAGAGCCCGAUGCUGGGCCUGAACCCAUGAACCACGAGAUCAUGACCUGAGCCGAAGUUGGAUGCUUAACCGACUGAGCCAGCCCAGGUGCCCCAUCCAGUUCUUCACCAAGCUUCCCACCACCUUAGAUUUAAUAUCCAUUGAUGAUUCUUGCCCAAACUAAUCUAUGAUGGCUGCAGAGUGAUGAUUUUCCAACCUCAUGACCACCUCCACGUUUAUCACUCACCAUCUUAUUGUCAGGAAGAGCUCCAACCCCAUCCCCGUUAUGUAUCUGUUUGUCUAUUUAUUACUAUUAAGGACUCAGGGAUUCCUAUCUCUUUCACUAGAUUAUAAUCUGUCACUAUCAUUAUUUUUUUCAAAGACGCUCUAGGCCCAAGGUGGGGUGCUAACUCAUGACCCUGAAACCAAGAGUGGCUCGCUCCACCAACUGAGCCGGCCAAGCUCCCCUGUCACUAUCUUUAUUUGUGUUGAUGGCCAAACUGUCCCAGACUACCUUAGAAACCAUUCUGUAUUAAUUCUGUAGCUAUGAUACCAAAAGCGUAAGCAACAAAAGAAAAGAUAGAGAAAACAGUCUUCAUCAUCAUUGAAUUCUUUUGUUUCUAAGAAUACCAUCAAGAAAGUGAAAGGCAACCUACAGAAUGCGAGAAAAUAUUUGUAAGCCAUGUAUCUGAUAAAGAAUUUUUUAUUUUUUAAAAUUUAUUGUUUUUAAUUUUAUUUUUUAUUUGUUAAGAGUUACAUCCAAAUUAGUUAGCAUCUAGUGCAACAAUGAUUUCAGGAGUAGAUUCCUUAGUGCCCCUUACCCAUUUAGCCCAUCCCCCCUCCCACACCUUCCAGUAACCCUCUGUUUGCUCUCUAUAUUUAUGAGUCUCUUCUGUUUUGUCCCCCUCCCUGUUUUUAUAUUAUUUUUGUUUCCCUUCCUUUAUGUUCAUCUGUUUUGUCUCUUAAAGUCCUCAUAUGAGUGAAGUCAUAUGAUGUUUGUCUUUCUCUGACUAAUUUCACUUAGCAUAAUACCCUCCAGUUCCAUCCACAUAGUUGCAAAUGGCAAGAUUUCAUUCUUUUUGCUUGCCGAGUAAUACUUCAUUGUAUAUAUAUACCACACCUUCUUUAUCCAUUCAUCCAUCGAUGGGCAUUUGGGCUCUUUUCAUACUUCAGCUAUUGUUGAUAGUGCUGCUAUAAACAUGGGGGUGCAUGUGUGCCUUCAAAACAGCACACCUGUAUCCCGUGGAUAAAUGCCUAGUAGUGCAAUUGCUGGGUCGUAGGGUAGUUCUAGUUUUAGUUUUUUGAGGAACCUCCAUCCUGUUUUCCAGAGUGGCUGCACCAGCUUGCAUUCCCAUCUGAUAAAGAAUUUUUACAACUCAAUAAAGAAGGACAAAUAACCCAACUAGAAAAUGGGCAAAAGAUCUGAAUACUGAAUUUCCCCAAAGAUAUGCAAAUGGCCAAAGAGCACAUGGAAAGAUGCUCAGCAUCAUUAGCCACCAGGAAAAUGCAGAUCCAAACCAUCAUGUGUACGACUUGGCACCCAUUAGGAGAGCUUUGAUCAGAAAGACAGUUAAUAACAAGUGUUAGCAGGGGAGGGGGGGCCCGGUGGGCUCCGUUGGUAUACAGCAUGGUGACUCUCAACAUCAGGGUCAUGGGCAGAACCUACUUUAAAAAAAAAAGAGUAAAUUGAAUUAAAAAAACAAACAAGCGUUGGGGCACCUGGGUGACUCAGUCAGUUGAGCCUCUUGAUAUCAGCUCAGGUCAUGAUCUCACAGUCUGUGGGCUCAAGCCCCGCAUUGGGCUCUGCGUUGACAGUGAGGAGCCUGCUUGGGAUUCUCCCUCUCUCCCUCUCUCUCUGCCCCUCCCUAGCUUUUGUGCUCUCUCUCUCUCUCUCUCUCUCUCUCUCUCUCUCUCUCUCUCAAAAUAACUAAAUAAACUUUAUAAUUUUUUUUUAAAAGUAACCAGUGUUGGUAAGGAUGUGGAAAAGCCGAUGGCAAUGUAAAAUGGUACAGCCACUUUGAAGUCAGGCAGUUGCUCCAAAGUUGAAACUUGAAGUUACUCUAUGGCUCAGCAGUUCCAUUCCUUGGCGUAUAUGCCCAAAGGAAUGAAAACAUUUGUCCACACGAACACUUGUGCGUGAAUGUUCACAGCCCCGUCAUUCAUAAUAGCCCCAAAGUAGCCCAAAAGUCUAUAAAACGAUCAAUAGAGAGACAAAAGAAGGAUUCAUCACAAGGAAUGAGAUCCCAGUGGCUGCCACAACAUGAAUAAAUCUUGAAAACAUUGUUAAGCGAAAGAAGCCAGGCUCAAAGGCCACCUGUGGUGUGACUAUUUGUGUGCAGUGUCCAGGUUAGGUAAAUCUAGAGAAAUGGAAAGUAGGCUUGAGGUGGGCAGGGGUUGGAGGAGGGGUGGGUUAGUGACAGCUAGUGGGUAUGGGGUUUCCUGUUGGGCUGACGAAAAUGUUUUAAAAUUGACCGCGAUCAUAGUCGCACGGCUCUGCAAACACACUAUUGAGCUGUACGCUUUAAAUUAAGUGAUUGUGCGGUAUGUGAAUUAUGUACUGUGAAUUUUAUCUCAAUAAAGCUGUUACCAAGAAAGUGUUCCAGAUUUGGCCAGUGGGUGCCCCUCUGAGCUGGCUCUCAUGUCCAUUUGACGUGCCCCAAUCCAUAUUUUGAGCACUUUCUUACUUUCUAGCACAAGAUAAUUCAGACUUAUUUUAUACCCUUUCCUAACUCCAGCCUAGGAAUCAACCUUUGUCCCAGAAGUCUUGCUUCCUAUUUGGGGGGGAAUGCAAAACCAAGAUUUAGGCAUUUAUCAUUUCCUUUUAUCAUCAUGACAACCCUAGUAAGUGGGUACUGGCAUAUCUUCAUUUUACAAAUGAGGCCCAGAGAGGUAAAGUAUAUUGCCCAAGGUCACACGGCAGCCCAACCUUUGAAAGCAGGCGACGUGAAUCCAGAGUCCCCGCCCCUUGCACCUCCCCCUACACACACACACACACACACACACACACACACACACACACAGAGUGUGAAAGUGAAGUUUAUUUCUUCAACAAGGUCACUUUUACUUGAGUGACACCAGUUUUUUUUUUUAAAUUUUUUUUUAACGUUUAUUUAUUUUUGAGACAGAGAGAGACAGAUCACGAAUGGGGGAGGGUCAGAGAGAGAGGGAGACACAGAAUCUGAAACAGGCUCCAGGCUCUGAGCAGUCAGCACAGAGCCCGACGCGGGGCUCGAACUCACAUACCGAGAGAUCGUGACCUGAGCCGAAGUCGGACGCUUAACGGACUGAGCCACCCAGGCGCCCCGAGUGACACCAGUUUUGAGUGGAAACAAAGGUGUAGAGCUUAUAAGACAGCCUCUCAGGAAUUGCACAAGGCAGGGUAUACCCUUGGGAAAAGUCACAUAUCAUGCGUCUGGGAGCGUGGGGUUGAGGGCAGAUCAACACCCAGUGGCCUGGCCCUUCCUACGAGAGCACAUGUUCAAAUUCACACACGCAAGUACCAGUAAAGUCCAGUGCUCAUCAAUCUCCUUUGCCAGCCUCACUCCCCACCCCUGUACCCAAAUGCUGCCCAUAGCCAGGUGUCCUUUACAAGAGAAUGGCUAAAAGAGGAGAAAACCUAUAGAUGAAAGGAGAUCAGCCUCAGUUUUUCACUGUUGACACUGGGCAAUGGCUACAUGGAGAUUCAUGAUCUUAUUCUCUCUUAUUUUGUAAGUGUUUGAAAGUUUCUGUAGUAAAAGAAAGUAUAAAAUGGUGAGAGGAAAGAGAAAUAGCCAGGCGGGGAGCCGUGAGUGAGCCGGGACAUUUGGCUGCUCUCUCCAGAUUCCUCAGGUGCUCAGAGGAGACCAGCAGCACGUCUGGGAGAUCCUCGGGACCACAGGCCCUCAGCUGCACCUUCUCCCCUCCGAAGACGAUGAGGAUGCUACUCAUGUCCUUGGUCAGCUGCCUCGUUGCCAUAAAUGAGGCCAAGCUCAUCAGUCGCUGUGACUUGGCCAGAGUGCUGCACAAGGAGGAUCUGGAUGGGUUUGAGGGCUACUCCCUGAGCGACUGUGAGUGCCGCUUUCUCACACUCCCGCCCCGCCAUUCCUCUUCUGCUCCUGGUCACCUCCUGUGUGGCCAUCUUUCCAUCAUUCAUCUUUCGAAGCCAAGUUCAAAAAGCAGCCCUCCCCGAGAAGCCCCUCCCAACAUUCUAUAUUCCUUCCACUGAAUAUUAUUAACUGAGCACUUACUAUGUACCGGGAACUAUUUUAGGGGCUGGGGACAGAGACAUCAACAAAGCCCCUUCCUUCACAGUGUUCGCAUUCUAGGGGGAGAGGCGAGUCCCAAACAAACACACAAACAUAUGAAGCACUUCCCGGUGGUGAUAAAUGUUAUGCAGCAGAAUAAAGCCAGGGGAGUGAGAGGUAACCUUGUCCUUGAAGGGGAAGUCAAGGAAUACCUCUCUGAGGAGGCGACAUUGAGCAGCACUGAAUGAGGCAAAGGACCGGGUCACCCAAAUGUCUGGGGAAGAGCAUUCCAGGCAGAGGGAGCAGGCAGUGCAAAGGCUUCGCCCUCCUCCAUGGUGGGGCUAACUUCCUUUUGCCCAGAUUUUGCACACACCUGUCUUGUGCCGUCCUUCUCGUUUUAUCUUGUCUUGUGGUCCUUUAAGGGGUGCGUCUUCCUUCUUGCUGAAGGCACCAGCUGCCUUUGCCCCAGCUGAAUGUCCCUCACUGGGCUUUGCACGGGUCAUGGCACACAGUAGGCGAACAUCAAGUGCAGGAGAUGCGGAUGGACAGCGGGAUGAUGAGCGGUUGUACUGAGGGGCAGGUGGAUGGACCGAAGGGCGAGGAGAGAAGCUAAUGGGUGUUUCCAGCCAGCUUGCCCCGUCUAGCCUCUUAGGCCUUGUUCCUUUCUUCUGCUUGCCCGUCUCCCUUUCUCCUCCGUGUCCUUUGUCCCUCAGUUCAGAGCCCUCUAAAAACCUUCUUCUCCCUGUUCUAAGGGCUGUGCCUGGCUUUUGUGGAGAGCAACUUCAACCUAUCAAAGGUAAAUGAAAAUGCAGACGGCAGCUUCGACUAUGGCAUCUUCCAGAUCAACAGCCACUAUUGGUGCAAUGAUCACAAGAGUCACUCGGAAAACAUUUGCCACGAGGACUGCAAAGGUAUUCUCUGUCUCCCCUUCAGAACUGCUGAGCCCCGAUCUUCUCUCAACCAUCAACUGUGUGAAAAAGAUUGUGUCUGGAGCAGGGGGAAUGAAGAACUGGUGAGGAGGUCACUGUGGGACUAAGUCAGCAGGCAGAGCCCCAAGAAGGAUGUAGUGACAGGAGGGGACAGGAGGCAAGGACUCGACCCCUUCUAACCAUCUAGAAAAAUGUGGGAGAGCGGCGCGGCUUGGAACUGGGACUUACAAGACUUGGGAUCUGGGUCUUUCUCUGAUGUUGUAUUAAAACUGUUUUGGACACAGUAGCAAAGGAACUUGAGUUAGCUGAGGGAGAUGGCUUCGGAGGGGACAAGGUGUCUCACCGAGCUUACCCAAGGGGUCUCUUCUCUGGAAGAGAACGGAGGCGGAGCUGGGAACUGUCAGUGUGGCUUUCCUGACAAGUUUCUGCCUCCUCGUGCAUUUCCUUCACUACUUUCUUUGUAGAGCAGUAUAUUCUGCUCCCCAUUCCAGAGAACAGACUGUGGCUGCCCCCAAGUUAAUGGGCUAAUGUUCUGAGCAGUCACGGAGACUGGCUAGUCUCAGCCCCAGAGUCCAAGGGGCUGGGAUAGAGAAUCUGAUUGGCUCAGCUUGGACCCAUCAUCCCCGAGCGGUUCAAUGAGCUGUAGGUGUGGGACCAGUUAAGCAGCACCAUCAUGCUGGCCACGGGUGGGGGGUGGGGCUGGCCCUCUCCAUAAGUCGCAGCAACAUUUUCUAUAAAAGGUGCGUAGCUCCUCAGCUGAGUAAAUACCCCCAAAGCUGUCAGCUUCCCAGUGGUAGACAGUGCAAUGGUUGCUUCACUUUUCUGAGCUUCAAAUUGGAGAUAGAUAGAUAGAUACAUAGAUAGACAGACAGAUAAGUUGCCUCUACAGGUGUCUGUGAGGAUGGAGGGGGUUAAGUGCCUUGUCUACUCUAAGAACACCAUGCGGAAGAGACGCUGACGGCUACUAGGGAUGACCCUCUCUGGAGGGAGAGUCGAUAGUUGCCCCUGAGAUUGACGGAUUGGUUAUUUAUUUAUUUAUGUAUGUAUUUAUCUUUCUGUUUGUUUAGUGACUCUCAGCCUUGUAAAAUGGUGCACUCCCCCUUCGGGGCCAGAGGAGGAUUUGAAAACGUGGGAGCAUACUGGACGGGGGGAGGAGCCAAACACCACAGAUAAGAGAAAAUUAAAGGAAGGCUCAGAGGGGCCACAGGGGGACAGACCAGAGAGCGAGCGGUGAAGGGGGUUCUGUGCAUUGCCGUGCUGUGCCGUGUGUUCACUAAGUGCUGGGUCAUGGAUGUGGAGAAGGAGCUACUAAGUAGGAAGCAAGAACCCAGCCGCCUUCUCUCCACAGGGUGGU